CCCAGGGCUCCCGCCCUGGGCUAAUGAAGGCCGCCCCUACGGGGCU
rnacentral:sRNA from 1 species